rnacentral:rRNA from 1 species
AGUGAACGCUGGCGGUAGGCCUAACACAUGCAAGUCGAACGGCAGCACAGUAAGAGCUUGCUCUUACGGGUGGCGAGUGGCGGACGGGUGAGGAAUACAUCGGAAUCUACUUUUUCGUGGGGGAUAACGUAGGGAAACUUACGCUAAUACCGCAUACGACCUACGGGUUAAAGCAGUGGUUCUUCGGACCUUGCGCGAUUGAAUGAGCCGAUGUCGGAUUAGCUAGUUGGCGGGGUAAAGGCCCACCAAGGCGACGAUCCGUAGCUGGUCUGGGAGGAUGAUCAGCCACACUGGAACUGAGACACGGCCCAGACUCCUACGGGAGGCAGCAGUGGGGAAUAUUGGACAAUGGGCGCAAGCCUGAUCCAGCCAUACCGCGUGGGUGAAGAAGGCCUUCGGGUUGUAAAGCCCUUUUGUUGGGAAAGAAAAGCAGCAGGUUAAUACCCCGCUGUUCUGACGGUACCCAAAGAAUAAGCACCGGCUAACUUCGUG